rnacentral:misc_RNA from 1 species
CCGUUCCAUAUCGCGUCAGGAUGGACCGCGUCUCCUAUAAUUUUCCAUCGUUCUAUAUGUAGUACCAACAAUUGGGAAGAUCACCAUGAAUCCGAUUGUCAUGGCAGCAACCGACCCAGUCAAGAUACUAGAGAUUUGCCGAGUCACUCCUUCUGACGCACCUGAGUCAGCUACUGAGUUAUCUCUCACUCUCACCCACUUCGACAUCUUUUGGCUCAAACAACACCCAACUGAGCGUAUCUUUUUCUAUGAGCUCACUGAUUCAACCCACACAUUUUUCCACUCAGUGAUCGUCGCUAAACUUAAAGCCUCUCUCUCCCUUACACUCCUCCACUUUCUCCCUCUCGCUGGAAACAUCUUGUGGCUCCCACACGCCGCCAUGCCAGCCAUCUGCUACUACCCAAACG